UAUAUAUAUAUAUAUAUGUACACACACAGAAGUGGAUGAAAAUUUUUUUCUCAAUCUAUUAAUGCAGUUUGACUCUGCUUUCUCGAUGAUUGCACUUUGUAGAGUAAUCAGUUCUUCUGAGUGUGGUUGUGUUUUGGGGGAGAGUGAGUAAGUGAAGGGAUAUCUUUUACAUGAAAAUAAAAAAAUGUAUUUUGAUUGCUUAAAGUCCUUACUGCCAUUUAAAGAAUAGUGGUAGGAUUUUAUUUUUUAUUUUUUUCCUUGCCAUUCACUUGUCUGCCUGUCAGCGCUUUUUACUUUUAACCUGUGACAGAAUUAAAUAAGCAGGCACUGAAAUUGACUUUGUUUGAAAUCUCUCUUUCUUUACCAAAAAAAAAAAAAAGUCAGAUAAAUGGAGUGAGAGGGUCUUUUCAGUAGCUCUUAUGACCGUGUGUAUACUUUGUGAUAUUCAAUUAAGACUAGAAGGAAACAACAAAAAGAUGUUAAAAAGUAUUUUGCACAACCAAAGGGUAUGUCCACUUUAAAAUAUUUUUUUGUUUUUUGUUUUUGUUACAUAUACCCCCACCACCAUGCAUUCACCCUGAAAAGAGAGAAAGAAGGAAAGGGAGAGUAUGAAAUAAAGAAAAAGCAGUGGGGCAAAGCUGCCAGGGGUCUGUAAUGUGGCCGUGGUUACUGCUCUCUCAUAACACAAAUGUGAAUUCAAGGAAAGGAACUACAAGAGCCGAUGCGCGACAGGCACUUCUGGUUGGACUCUGGUGACUGUUGAGCUAAACACACACCGCGCUUACAUGAUAGGAAGGGUUUGAUUGAAUUUUGCAUUUGGAACUUGUUGACUUUGAAGCGAUCAAUAAGAAGACUGUUUAUUUUAGAUGCACAUAAUUUGCCCUGAGAAAUGUUUUAAGGAGGAAAGAGCACAGCUUUUUUCCCCCGGAGCUGUUGGAGCGAAUGGGAUUGCCAGAUGGGCGAUUUCCCUCUGUGAUGUUAAAGCUGUAAUAUAUAUUCAGAGCAGAUUGGGCUGCUGCCUGUGAUGAGGAGGAUAUUACAUUUAUAAAUUUUAAAUCGGAGCUCGGACAAUGUGCUGAGAGCAGAAAUUGGAUGGUUUGACUGUUCACCGUAUUGAUACUUAAAUGUGAUUUCUGGGUAGUAGUAAUAAUAAUUAUUACAGUAAUAUGUAAAAAACACAUUGGGGUAGGCAGUCAUAUAAUUCAUGACAUUUAACAGCAGAUUUAAAUGUAUAAAUUGCCCCCGUCUCUGCUUACUAUUAAAUAAUAGUCACAUCAUUUAUUUCCCUGUGUGUUUAAAUGCCCGUUGUGUAAGUGAUGUUCAUUCAGGAAGCUUGUUAUCAUAUACUAGAAUUCUGCGGAGGAAAAGUUUAUAUGUAAUCUAUAGACACUUGUACAUAUGUAUAGAGUGGCAUCAGUGGUUCCUAUUUUGUAAUUCUAUUACUUUGAUUAUUUUUAGAUUUUGUUUGUCUCAAAUGUGUGGCCUAAAGGAGCCAGAGCUACAAACCUAAAAGGCUGGAAAGUGGGCAAGUCCUCACACUCUGGCAGCUCUGCUGUUGCAAAUUAAAAGUGUGUUGUGGUCAGGAAAUGAAAGCUACAAUGUCUCUUUUGAACAAGUCGUUUAUCAAGAGAAACAUCUAUCAGGGACUGCCUUGUCACAUUGAUCCUCUAAAAGUUAGGUCCGAGGUGGAAGCUGCUUUGAUGUUUUUGAUCCUAAAUUUAAUACAACAGAAGAAAAGCAAGGAUAUUUUGACCAGGAUAGAUUAAAAAAAAAAAUGUUUCCUGGAACCAACAAGAUCUAUUUAUUAGUAUUAUACUAUGUGUGAAGUUUUUUGGAUGUAACAGUUGAAAAGGUUGAAAAGGAAACCCCAGCCUUUUUAAAUUGACCAUUGUACAUAUUUAUAGUACAGUCAGUUUUGGCUGGCUUCUUGGUUCAUAUGGACAUUUUGAAAGUGAUUGUUUUAAAGGGAAAAUUAUUUUGAAAGUGUUGUGGAACAAUAUAUAGAGAAUUAGAGUUUUCAUGCUUUCAGGUUUUAGAGUGGCUCUCUUCCCUUCAUCUUCUCUAUUAGUCCUUAUUUCUAUUUCCUAUCUUCAUUUCAUGUGUGACAUACUAGCUUUUAGUGGAGAAAGAAACAAUUUUUUUCUAUUAAAAUCAUUUCCCAAAACAUGCUUGCUCAUAUCAUCUUUAUUGUUUAUUAACUGUGCAUGUGGAUCAUUGGCAAUAUAAAUUUCAAGGACUCACAAGUCUUUCAUAAUUUCAGCUUAAAUUAAAAAUAUAGGUAGGUAACAGAUUAAAUAUGCCAUGUAUCUUUGAAUACUGAAUAUGUUGCAUGCAUUAUUCAAAUUUUAAAUGGUAUUAUUGAAAAAAUGACCAACUUUCAAAAAAAUUUUUUUUUUUAGUGAAAGCUGUUAAAAGCAGCCUGUUUCAUAUUUGGAGGUAAUGAUGGAAGUGUUCCUUCUUUGGAAUAGACUUUUGGAUACUUGUCUUUUAGUGCUGGUGUCUAUUUGCUAUUUCAUAUGGGUCUAUCAACAACUAGACUGUGGUGGGAGUUUGGGGAAGUGUAAUACUUGCUAAUUAAUCAUGUCUGAAAUGAAAGAAUCAUAGCAGGGUAAUAAAAAUCUCAUUGUUGUUUUCCUGGAAGAGGGUAAGACUUCUGUUUGGAAGCUGUACGUGUGAGUUGACUUGCUUUUUUCUUCUCCUAAAAAGACAGUUUAUCGGGGCUCUUGAGAAUUAUUUCAGGAACCAUCUUUUGGAAACAGAAUAUUUUUAUUUUUCCUGACUGCACUGAAUCAGUGAAAUUCUUAAAAAUGUCUCUGCUACCUUCUGAGUGAAAACAUAGAGGUUUUUUUCCACAGUUCUGUUAAAGACUGCUGCGACUGAGUUUCCCAGUGCUUUUUUUCCCCAUACAUAGAACAUCUUUUUUGUUGUUUUUAUUCAUGUUAGGCAGGAACUUUGGAGGCAGGUACUUCUGAUAGGCAUACGAGAGAGCAAAAUUUGUGUUAAUUACUUUUAGUUAGUACAAGAGCAUGACCGGGGGGAGAAAGGGGACAGUACUUCCAGGAAUCUGAAGACAGUCUGUAUUAUAACUUGAUGUUUCUAAGAUAGUUUAAAAUAUUAGCCACCUGAAAAAUAGAUGAGUAAUAUAAUUACAAGUAUAUUAUUUUUUGUCUGAGUCUUGCAAUAUCACAUUUUAGGAUUUGCUUAGUUUAUGCAUGGAGACAGAUUCUGAAAGUUUAAGUGUCUGCAACAUUUUUCAGCAUUUUCAUCUCAAGGUGAAAGACGGCUAUGCUGUUUUUGUCUGUGAGUGUUUGGAUGUCUUGAAUGAUUGCCUAAUUAAGUAAUCAGUUUUAAUGGUCCAAAAUCAGCAGAAUUGCUAGGUGUAUUUGAAACAAUUGCAGGCUUUUAUGUUUUGUACUUUCUAAUUUGUUCCGAGAACCUCAGUUUGCUAAAAAUGUAUGCUGUUUUGCCUUUGAUAUUCUUGAAUACAAAUUUCACAUACUUCUUUUGUAAAGUAUAUUUAUUUUUGUAGAACUAAUCAUUUUAAUUACCAGGAAUUUAAAUUGAUUUGUAAAUUUUUGAUGGGGAGAAAUUGUUCUGCAGACAUUUGUGUGAAAUACUGACCUGUAGUCCUGAUUGAUAAGAUGUGAUUGAUCAGCAUAUUUGCUUUUUUAUCUUUGGCCACUGAUAAACUAGAAUAACCAAAUGGCACAGAAAACAGUGUAAUUGUUUUCUUUCAGUGAAAAAACUUAAUAUAAUUGCUUCUUUGGAGACAUAUAAAAGUUAUUGUUUUAUUAAAAUCAGUUAAACUUAGAAAUUAUUUUGGGAUGCUACUUGGAAGACUUCAAGUCCAAAAAUUAUUCCACCUUUAAAUUAACUCUUUCUCUCUCUCACACACACCAGAUUAUAGCUAAUUUUUUAAAAACUUACUGAAAAUGAAAGACUUUUUGAAAGACUGUCAAUAAAUGCCUCUAAGUGCUUUUCAUGGUCGGGUUUUAUAAUUUUCUUCAUUCUUUUCCCCUAAACUUGAAUUUUUGUCAAGUUUCUCAUUUAAAUUAUGGUAGAAAUUUCAAGCCUAGAUGCUUUGACAUGAUUGCUGAUUACUGAACCUCUUGAUAUUUUUGAUGUUAUCAUUUAAGUGGCAGUUGUACGUACUACAAGAAAUGCAGAUAGUGGAAAUAAAAGGUAGGUAAGAAUACGGUAAAAAUAAAUUGUACUGAUAAGUCUGAAGCAAAUCAAAAGCAGGUGGGUGUGCAGUUUCCUCAGGGCAGCAACACAGAUGCCUCCUCAGGAGCUCUGCCUCAGCUCCGCACAUGCACCAGCGCUGUACCUGUUGACGACAGACUUAGUUAAGAGACUGAGGCGGCAGAAAAGAUAGGUGACCAGAAACCAUCCUAGCGUGAGAUAUCAUAUGGCUCUUUCUGUUAAUAAUAUUUAUGUACUUUAUGCCGCAAAUCUACUUGUUGUCUUGUUAUUCGAAUAUUGACACUAUGCUUCACAUUGCAUAUGGUGGGCUGUGGUUUCAGAGUACAUUAGAAGCAGUGAAUUCAAAGGAGAAUUUUAAUGCAGAUGUAUUUGUGUGGAAUAUAUGUAUAAAUGGAUGAGGUUGCUUGUACUUGAGCUACUGUGACUUUCACAAAGCAUUUACAGCAUUACUGCUUCCAAUCAUUUUUGAAACGGAUACAUCUUGAAAGUAGAAAUGCAUGAUUUAUUAUAUGAAGAUCCAAGGAUAAACUUUUUUUAUCCUGCAACCUGGCUUAAGUAUUUGUAACUUUUAUGUAUGGAAAUCUUUCUUAGAAAGUAUUUUUUUUUUAGGUAAGAUUGGAAAGUUUGCUUCCUGUUAGGAUUUUGUUCUCAUUUUCAUGUGAGUUACUAGUGAUGCAUAACUUACAGAAUGUAUUUUCUUAUCGUAGAAUACAUCAUGUAAAAUACUUAUAAAAUGUUUUCUUUUCCCCAGUAUCUUAUUGUUGAGAAUAUCUUUUACUCAGUUCCUCACUUAUGAACUUACAUUUCUGCUAGCAGUUUAUAUAUGCAACUUGUGAAUAUAUUGCUGGCAGGAGAGCAGAAACUGAAUUUUACUUUAUCCACCAAAAAUCUAAUAUUUGUGCCCCCCCAUCUAAUAUUUACCUCAUGUCAAUUUAAUGCUUUUUAAGCAACUGACAAUCGAUUAAAUGCCAUAUACUUAGGACAGUAAACUCAUCUGAGAAUGAGUGACCUCUCCUUUCAUGCUUUGGUUUUAGGAAAUGUUAUUCAUGGAAACAGUAACAUUCAAAAUAAUAAUUUUAAAGCAGUAUAAUGUAAAGUCGGGGGUUUCUAGGUGUUGCUGUAAACUUUUUGCAAUUCUUCUGAUUUAUUAUCCUUACCGUCAACACACAUUGUCACCUUCACCUCAGGCUGGCUACAUAAUUUCUUGGCUUGGUACAAAAUUGAAAUGGGGGGCACCUUGUUCAAAAAUUAUUAAGAAUUCAAGACAGCAACAGCAGAACAUUAAACCAAGUGCAGAGCCCUUCUGUGUGGGGAACCUGUGGGCCUAGCCAGGUCACAGGUCAAUGAAGCAGGCCCUGCCUUCAUUACCCACAAACUUUGUGGAAGUCACUGGGUUUCCUGCAUGGCGACUGACCAGUCCACAGUGAUUGCACGUGCCCCUGCCUAAAUGCUAGUGGUUGUUAAGAGCCUUGAUGGGAAAAUGGACCACUAGGUAUCUUCUGCUCUUUCUAUACAUGGAAUGGUGACUGAAAUAUUUGCCCUUAUCUUAUGUUGCCUUUUGCCUGAUGUGUUCCCAUAUAUCACUGGAAUUUUUGUGCAGAUAUUCUUAAAAGCAGUCCUGUUUUGUAAUUGUCUGCAGACAGGUACACACUAAAAUAUGUAUUCCCCAGGCACGGAAUGUUUAGGGUGGGAGGAUUUCAGUAAGAUUUGAAAUAAGAGCAUGUGAGUUUCUCUGUUGCUUUGUACCACCGCGACCCCACCCAAGUUUCAAGCACAAGUGAAAUAAAUAUUUUUAAUGUAGAAUUCUAAAUUAUCUAAAAAUAUAGAAAAUUCUGACCAUUGAGAAAUAAAAGCACAGCUUAUUAAGUAAGGGAAAAGGGGCAAACAUAAAAAUAAUUACCUUGUUAUAGUAGCAGCAAUACUGAUGUUUUGACAUUAGGAAGUGGUAUUGUAGCUGUAUAAACAUGUGGUGACAUAUGUUAAAAUUGUGUUAAAGAUGAAAAGUAACUCUUUCAUGUAGUGAUAUUAACUUUGCAGGAUGUUAUAUUGAAAUUGUGAACUUCAUUUUUGAACUUAAACAGGAGCAGUCCCCUUCCCCCUGAAAAAUGUAGUCACCAUCUUUGACUCCUUUCCCCAUUGGUUUGAACAGUCUUAAGUUGAUGAGUAGAUUAAACGUUUAUAUUGUUGCUUCCCAAGAUACUUCUCAAUGAGAUCAAGCCUCAUAUCGAGAUCCCUAAAACUAAAUUUUGAAGUCAACCGGCUUUUUCAGAUACGGUGGAAUGUCCAGCAAGUAAUGGAUCUGAGUGCACUUGAAGUUGCACCAUUUAUUUUCAAAAGAUAUUUCCCACAUCAGAUGCCUCUGCCAGGAAGAAAAAUAUCAAAGAGCUCAGAAAAGUAACUAUUCUUUUAUGUAAUCCAAGACUGGUUGUGGGGUGGGGAGGAGGGCUUUAAAGGUAUUUCUGAAGAAAGAAAAAAACUGAACUUAUUUUGAAUGCCUUGUUAGACUUGGUGGAGAGAAAUACUAUAUGUGAGACCUUCUAGAAGGAAAAAUCUUUGCCCUGUGUAAUAACAAGGCAUACUCUCUCAGUUGACAUGUACUUUAAUGGAAAGAGGCUUGGAAAUAGCUAUUACAACAGUGUCCCAUUUAAUUAUAAAGUCACCCCACAGUUUAGGAAUCUUGCAUUAGAGGCAUUGUAAACCUGAAUUUUUUAAAUAAGUAGUGAAUCAGAAUGCAUAUAUUCUGUGUUGAAUAACCUAUCUACAAAAUCUGUAGUGUAAUUUAAUUUGGGAACCUUCUUUUCCCACCUUAGUCCUAUCCUUUAGUAUAUUGUGUAUUCAUGUUAAAUGUUUAGCUUUAAAAUAGGUUAAACUAGGAAUCUGGGUAAAUAUGUGGCAAUAUUAGUGCAUUCUUAUGCCAAAAAUAGCUGUUUAUUUCCUUUCUAGUCACUUCUUCCUUUCCAUUUCAAAUUGGAGUUAAGAUUAUAAACUCUUUCUCUUAGAUCAUAUACCUGAAUGAUGCUAAAUUAUAAAUCUUAAUUAGCUAUGAUUCACUGAUUUUAAUUUUACGAGAUAAUUAUUCUGAGUAGGAUAAAAGGUUUCUUUAAUAUUGAAGGCAUUUUCAUUACAAUACCCAUUUAAGAUCAGACAAAUGCCAUUAAAUAAACAGAGUCCUAUUAGUCUUUAAAGCUUAGCAGGUAAUACUUUUGAAUUUAAAUAUAUGAAGAAAUAAGUAUAUGGAUAGGACAGCCUUCCUAUUUGCACACUUUGAGUGCUUGUGAUAAAUUUUACUACCAGAAAUUACAUGAAUCUAAAAGAAUCUUUUCAGUAAAAAUUACAGUUUUGAUUAUCUAAAUGGAAGAUGCUCUUGUGAAUGUGUGCAGAUCCAUUUCUUUGUGAAGGUACUGAUGUCAGAGAAAUGCUUUUGGUAUUUCUUUAUGAGUAAUUAGGUUAACGGGGUUAGUUGGAAAGUGUAUCCUUUCCUGGAAAAUGAAAAAUUACAUUCAAGCAGAGGUAAAAGAGUAGAACAUAAUCAUGACUUUAAGUACUUAAAAAGAUAUUUUAUGAGUCAUUUUUAAAGAAUAAUACUCAAUAUGUAACUUGUUAAGAAUAAUAGCCAUUUUUACUUUUUAGAGCACAUCUGUAUUAAAACUGACUUUCCGUUCAUGAGUCACAAAUCUGGAGUCAAUUUUAGGCCCAACUUAUAAAAGAUGUGGAUCUAAUCCCCCACACCCCCUUGCUGUGGCAUCCUGCUCCUAUAGUGUUGGUAUAAAGUUCUUUACAGAGAGAUUUUCACUUGAAUUAUUCAGACAAUUAGGCAGCAUUUUUGAGGGGAACGUUAAUACGACCCACAGGUAGGCACUGGGAUCCCAAAUGGCCUGAGUCCUUGUCUGACAAACUAGAAGAAGGAAUUUUGUAUGCCUAUAUGAACAGUGCUUGUUCUUUCUAUGGGAAGAUUUUAAAUGUACUAAGUAUAUGAUGUAUUCCCUAAUUAGAAAAAUAUGUUUUAUGUAACUCUGAGGAUGCUAAUCAACUAAUUUACGUAUGGAUUGUAAGAUAGUAGGACUAAAUGUUUUUCAGAAAUAGAUAUUUAGGCUGAGUAGUGUCUCUCUAGAAAGAAAAACAAAUCCACCUCUAUGCAAAUCCCUUUUGGGAUUUAUGGAUUUUUGUUUGUGCUUACUUUGUUGUAUGCUUUUGUUUUGUUUUUUCCUACUAUGGGUGAGAUGUCUAUCAAUAAUAUUUAAGAAAUAAAAUUAUUAGGAAAAGAAUCUACUAUUGGAAGUUCUUUGUUAUGCUAUGUUCUCUUGGUAAUGAGUAAAUACAAUGCAUUAUAGCUUGCUUGUUUGUUUCUGAUUUGUGUCUUAUUUUAUGCUGUUUUAGCAUCAAAGUAAAAAGACCUUACAGGAAACUAUUUUGUAUUGUUUAUUUUUAAAAAUACCCAAUGAGAAUAGCACAACCUGUGGUAUAGAUUUGUUUAUAAUGAUGAGCAAAAAUCCCGUUUUACCCUAAUAUAAUUCCAUUUCCUUGAAAUCUACAAUAUCAAAAUGCCAUUACUACUAACUACAAUCUAGGAGGUAUUGAUGAUAUACAGUUGUAACGCACAUAUGUACCUAAAUUCAUAUUUUAAAAAUAUUUUUCUAUAAAUUCUAAUAGCCAGUUUUGCAGAUGUCCUUAUGCUUGGGGCCAGUGGGGGAGUGGAUUUUCUGUUUUGCUAUUUGCAAACUCAACAGAAACCUUACUAUCUCAUCCGUCCUCCUGCUCCUGGAAUUCAUUCUUACCCAUACCUGUGUUUUGAAAGGCUGAGGCCUUUUCUGUCUCUCUUUUUUUAAGUAUUUCUCUGUAGGGCUGUUUAUUACCUGAUCAUCUGGAAAAUCAAAUUUCACUUGAGCCACUGGAAUAUGAUAUUUAGAUCAUAAGGAGGUAGCUUGAAUUAAUUAAGAAGGUAUUGGGCUGUGUACUAGGAGUAAAGUGUGGCAGCAUUUUUUGAUGUGGACAGAGUGAAAGACGACUUGUAGAAAUGAGGAAAUAGCCAAAGGCAAAAGAAAUUAGGGAAGUUGUUAAGGAAGCUAAGGAUAAGGACUGUUUUCAUGUGGCUGUUGUUAAAAGUGAUGUUGGCAAUUAAAAAAAAAUCAAAUCUGAUAUAAUUAUGAGAAAGCAUUAUUUAUUAGGAGUUAGCACAUUAAUUAGCACACAGCAUUAUAAUCUAAACAAAUUAUAUUCUCCUUUUUUAAAAUGGCAGGUUCUGUAUCAAAUCUUGGAUAUACAUGAUUUAUAAUCACCCAAAUUAAAAGAACUGUCCCCCUUUUUCUUUCUUUGAAUUUGAAAAAAGUGUAAAAAGUACACAUGCCUUUAAAGAUGGUUCAUAUUACUCUUAGGUUCCUUUUUCUCCUUCAUAUACUCAAUUAGGUUAUACCUCAAAUGAAGUUAUAGAAGAAAAUCUACUCAGGAUUGGGAUAUAUCUUUUUUUGUCUUCUUUUGGGAAAUAAUGCAUUUAUUUUCAUUAUAGGAGUUCAAAUCAUUAAAGUAGAUAACUAUGAUUUAAUUUGAUGUGAGCAAAGUUUAAGGAUAAGUUUUAUAUCUACCCUGUAAAUACUAGCUGUAUGUUAAUGACCAAAAACAAAACAAACAAAACUUGCCAAAGCCCCAUCUCAGACCAGUUAAAUGGGAAUUCAGGGGGAUGACCAAUGUCUUUUUCUUUUUCUACUCCAGUGAUUCUAGUGUAAAGUUAGGAUUGAGAAUCACUUCUCUGAACCAAAUAUUUAUAUAUUGCAUGAGCUCUUAAAUGUCUUGUUUUAAGUUUUAAUUUUAAAAAUUUCAUUUUUCCCAGUUUGAAGUCAUAAAAAUAGAUCUACUUAGAAUGAAUGUACUAAUGGUUCAUACUAGAGGUAGUUCACUCUCUGACUAAAGUUCAACAACAGUCUAUGAAGAAUCUUAAGAACAUUGUAAGAGUACCUCUGAAAAGUGAAAAUGAUGAUAUCAGCAGAUACCUACAGCCUAUUGUACCUUGGGUAAGUCCUUCAACCUCUCUGAGUCUCAGUUGUUGAUUAUAUAAAAGGAGAGUUGAUCCAAUGACUCAAGAUUUUUUUCCAGUUCCAUUUAAUCCACGAUGCUUGGUCAUCGACUAGUAAGUUUGAGUCACUUGAAUCUUGAUUGGUGGCCCACCAGCAGCAGAAUGAAAAGAUUUUUUGUUUCUGUUUAAGAAACUCUAGAUAUUGCCUUGGAAAUAAUGAAGGAAGUUCAAGGACCAUUUAUCACUUUGUUAAGCCCUUUAGAAGGGAUGGUAACCAUUCAUUAAAUAUGCUUACUAAUUGGUUACAAGCAAAUGUGUCAGCAAUUCUAAGUUGAUGAGUGUUAGUUAGCCAGUGCUUUUUUUCCUGUAAGAUAUAAUAGAUUAACAAGAAGAUUAGCUUAAGCAGCAAUGGAGUGAGGGGCUUCAAAUCUCUCAAAAAAUAUGUCAAAAUUAUAGAUCAGUAUGAAAGUUGAAUGUUUAUCAAACUGGAAGCAACUCCAUCUUUUCUCUAUUUAUCCCUAACUAAUCUUUGUUCAUCUUCUUUUUACUCCCUGGAAUGUUCUUCUCCACCAGUUGAAAACCUACCAGGACUUUGACAUUUAGCUUAAAUGUUGCAUCACCUAUGAAAACUUCUUGAGCCACCCUAAUCAGGAUCCAUUUGACAUCUGCUUGAUAUGCUCUAAGCACUUAGAAAAAAAUCUCCUUUCAGUCACUUGCCAUCUUUCUUCUUCUGUAGAUUGCUGUUCAUUUGUAUUUCUUGAUUACGAAAUUGUAAACUCCUUGAGAGCAGAACACAUCUGAUUCAUUUUUUAUUUUUAAUCUCCUCAACAUGUGUGUACAGUGCAGGACCUGUAAUAGGUGUUCAAUAAAUGUUUGGUGAAAUGAAUCGAUAAAGACUGUCACUUGGUUCAUCUUUAUUAAUCUUACCUGAAAAAAUUGGAAGAUGCUUUUUAAAGUACUUAAAUACAGAUCUAUUAAAAUUAUGUAUUUCAUUAAAACUGAAAUUUCUGUAUUCUUUAAUCACUAAAGAAAGACUUUAUAAUCUUAUAAUUCUGAAAAAUAGUUUUAUAAUUAUAUACCCAAAAAAAGAGCUUAUAGUCAUUUGUUCUAUUUUCAUAUCUCUGGAUACAAGAGCAUUAAAACUAUUUUAUAAAAACAGAACAUUAUAAUGAUAUGUAAUAAAAAUCUGCAACCUAUUUCAAUUAUAGGCAGUAGCACAUGACUUCAAAUCACUGUGCUUUACGUAUUUAAAUAUUUUUCCUUUUGUGUUUGUAGUCAGAAAAAUUUGAGGGUAUAGAAUCAUAAAAUAUUAGGCACGGGGACUUCCAAAUCAACUGUUUGCCAACAUAGGGUUGAUUGGCACUUGGUUAUUCAGCCUUUGGUUGAACGUGGGAAAUCAGCACCUCCUAAGGCCUUUCUUUCUAUUUUGUCCUUUCUCGGAUAAAUAGGCAUUGUGCAGAUAUGUGCCUGGCAGUACUCAAAACAGAUUUUCUUGGGAACAUGAUGGUAUUUAGGGUGCUAAGAUAUGAGAUGCAAGCUAGCUGAUUUACAAUUGAUAUGAUAACUUUCAUUGAUGCUGUAGUUUGUAAAUACCUUUGAUUAACACUUUAAUUGACAUACUUUUGUUUCAUAUUUAGUGUCUGACACUAGUCAUUUAUUUUGUACUAAAUACUGGGCAGUAAACAAUUUAGCUGGGGUUACCCCAGUGACCCUGUCUUCUAGUGGUUCAAAUGUAUUACCCGCUUAGUUUGUGUAUUUGUGGAAGGGUCAGUUUAUUUCUUAAACCUGUCACUAAUGUUACAACAUAUAGCAUUACAAAAUUUUCUAAGGGAAAUCCAAUUUGAGCAAAUGUUGAAAUUGUAAUGUGUUAGUCCACAGUAUUUUACAAAGUCUUUUAUAUUUGUGUAUUUGAACCUAAAGAUAGAUGUACCAGAGAAAAGUACUUGUUCACAUUGCUUCAUGAAAGAACUCAGAAAAAACAAAGGCACUAUUGUCAUUCUUCUAAAAACACAAUUUUACUAAGGAAACCUAUAACCUUUAGUGAAAGCUCACUAGUUUUCUUCUAAUUUGGACUCUUCAAAUCUGAAAAGUUCUAGAUGCUAUCUUACCACUUAAUAUUGAAAUCUAGGUUGAUCUUGUACACUCCAUGUAAGAGAAAAUAUCUCCAGUGCUGACUGUUGAACCUGCAUUAUUACAAAGAUACACUGUUAAGUGAACCACAGGGAACAAAUGUUGUUUAGUCAAUUGCAUGAAAACAGCUGCACCUUCAACAAAGAGCUUCAAUAGUAAAGAAGUAUAGUGCAUCAGAAGUAGAAUAAUAAAGAUUGUGAAACAGUAGGUUAAAAGUAGCGAGAGUGUUUUUGCAGUUUGACUGCAAUAAUCUUUUUAGUUCCUUUAGUUAAAUUAGCUUUUCUGGAAACCAGUAAUCUUCAAGCAAGUUAAAAUUGCUUAACUAUAAAUCGAAAUCCAUACGGUUGAGAGUAACGACUAUGAAUUAUGCAACCUUUAUGAUGGUGGCUUGCCAACAACCAGACUAAAUCAAGGGAGGAUUUAAAAGACAUAGGCUUAAAAUUCUGCCUGGUUAAAAUCAGGAAGUUGGGGGAUUUUAAACUAAAUAAGAAAUAGCCAUGCAGAUUCUUCCCAUCUAAAAUGUCAGCCAUGUUUCUUUUAGUCUUCUCAUAGAAAAAAGAGGGGUGAUUCCCCAGAGAGGGUAGUAAUGUAUGUUGAUGGUCACUAAAUAUGAGCCACGGUUAAAAGUCACGGUCAAUAGUUUCUUUUGUUGCUAUUCUUUUUUUUUUUUUUUCUUGCCCUCAUAAGCAUAACUGUCAGCUGUUAAUCAUUGAAUUUUUUGUUAGAUCUACACAUGGCAAUUCUUGAAGAAUGUGAAGCUGUGAUUGUCCUCUUGGCUUAAAAUCAGAAAUAAAAUUAUUUCAGGUGAAUACAGCUCUGUGCCUGUAUAUGUAUGAGCAUUCAGAAGAGAAACCUAUGAAAGAGUUGGCAGCAUUGAUAGCUCUUUCAUUCUGAAUGGGCCAGUUAGUAGCACCAUACAGAUACCAUCUAAGUGAGCCAAUUUAAAAUUCUUAACUAAGUGGCCCAGGUCUAUCUGAGAGGUGGUACUUACUUGUCCCUUAGGUGAUCGAUUCUGGCAUGAUACUCAGUAAACAAGAUUUAUGAGGAAUUAGUUAAAACUGAAAUUGAAAUUGGAUAUUAAAGUAUAUAGUUCACCCUAAAUUGACUUGGAUAUAUUUGUUAGACAUGCAUGAGAAGAAUUUUUAAAAUAGAUUCUUUGCAUUAGAAUAAAGACUAAUCACAAAUAAGCCAGUUAAAAUUAGCUUGCCUGAUAUGAUUGUUUUCCUUGAAUGAAUGACCACACCUUCUUUUAGCACUCCCCUCUUUGUCCAGGGUUUAGUUUCAUCAUGCACAUGUCCUUGAAGAAAUGUAGCAUCUUUCACAAGAUUUUGUACAAGUGAAAUCAGAUACCAGUUUUUAUUGCAGAACUGAGCCUACAAAUGUUUCUCUUUAAAGACAUUUUUAAUAGAAACAGUAAGGUAUAAAUCAUUUAAGCAAUUACCUGGACAUUGUGGAAAUGGGGCUUGGCUUGUUCUGUAGCCCCAGAUGUUUUCAGAUUCCAGUAAUAACUCGGCCCAGAUAUUUACAGCUUAAUUUUCUGUGCAUGUGCACUUGUCCACAAAUGGCUCCUACUUCCCAUUUUCUGUUGGACAACUGGGCCACUUAGAGGUACAGAAAGUGAUUUCAGCGUGGGUGAUGACAAACAUUAAUGGUUAUAAUAAGUUGCUUCUAGAAACUUUGAUCACUUAAAAAAAAUAGGCUAAUUCUUAGAGGAUUUUCUACUAAGAAAUAAAUUAUUAAAUGGCAUUUUCCUUUACAGAUGGAGGUGGGGGGAAUGUCUCCCCAUCCCUCAGAAUUAUAUUCAGCCUUGAUCUACUGUGUGAUAAAAGUAAUUUUUUUUUUUUUGAUGUGUCUUCUGGCACUGGUUGAGUUAUCAUGCAGGCUGCUAGUUUUCUUUGCAUUACUACACAGUUUCUCUUGUUCUUACUAGAAACUAAACAAAUGGAAAAUAAUGAUUGGUAACCAUCUGCUGUGCAGAAACUUCACAUAGAGCAGUUAACUCUAUUUUAUAAAACAAGACCAAAUGAGUGAAUUAUACUGUUGCCAGUAAAUAGCAACAUGAAGUAGAGCGUUCCUUUGGACAAAGCAGGAGCAUAGGGAGCCAGCAUUUAUUAUGGGAAGUCAGUUGGGUGGGCUGUGGGGUUGAAUGUGGCCCAGGCAUUUAUAUGUGUGCAUGCGUGUGUGUGUGUGUGUGCGUGCGUGUGUGUGUGUGUGCGUGCAUGAGUGAGUGUGUGUGUGUGUGUGUGUGUGUGUGUGUAAAGCAGGGAGUGGUGUAUAGAAUGAGGGGUAUCAUACUUAAUGCUACUGAGAAAGAGACAGAGACCCAAAAAGAUACAGGAACUCUAGUAACAGAAUACCCAGGACUGUUAGCAUCAGUCUAACAGAUUAAUAUCUUUUUCUAAGUAUGCAUUUCCUCUAAUCUCAUUCUCAAUCUAAUGUUCAGUUUUCCUUAACAGAUUGCAUUCUGUACUCACGUUCCUGGAAGUAGAAAUGGUAUCUGAUUGGUACAAGUCUCUUUCCCUUACUUACAUUGUUAAUAUUCUUAUCCUUUUUGGACAUUGAAAUACUUUUUUUUUUUUGUAGAAACAAUAUACACAUUCAUAAAAAAAUUAUAAAGGGAUUCUCCUUUUGAAGAUAAUGAGUUCUUUUCAGGAACUGCAGGUUACAUGGCGCACAAAUGAGCUCUAAGUGGGGGGAUUUAAAGUCCUGCUACAGCAUUUAAUUUCUUGAGGAAAGGAGUUCAGUUCAAGGUUAGCCUGUUAUUGUGGCACUGGCAACUACUUCUCGCGUCCCCGUUCUUCUGCCAGCAGUUCUGCACAAAAGACAGUCAUUUUUAUUUAAUACGCAGGGAGAUAUUAAUCACUGCAGUAUUUUCUUGCAAAAAUUUAUCUUAUCAUAUUCAUUGUUUCACUACCCAUGACAAUAAUAGGUGUUUAAUUACUCAAUAAGAGGCGUUUAUAGAUUCCAUUUUUCCUGUGAGCUGGACAAAUGGUAUUGAUUUUGUACUUUGAUGCAACAUGGAACUGUAUUAAACACAAUCAGAAUUCCAAGGCUGGUAAAAUGUACAUUUGUUAUGGUAACUGGACUUGCUUUGAGAAUCGGCAAGCAUCUUCUAAUCCAGGCAAUGCCUUUGGUGUAAAAAGGAUAUUUGAUUUUAUUGCUGCUCUGUGGUUAAAUUUAAUGCUCUUUUUCCACCCCCCCUCAUGUUGUGUGUAUGCGUGUGUGCAUGUGCACAAGUGUGUAGGUUUCAGUUUUAAUGAAGCAGUAAAGAGUUUGUAUGAAAUGAAAAGAUUUGAAGUGGAUGGUUCUUUGUAGUCAGACAAACCAUUGUGUACAGGUGAACACUGACUCUGUGUAAUCUUGUAAUUGUGUCUCUUGAGCAAAUGCUAUAGGUCUGUAUUUUACCAAUAAAUAAGUUAUUACCUGGGGUGAGGGUGGGAACAGUACGCGAUGAAAUGGCACCUUCAUCUCAUGCUGGAUUCUGGUUUACUUCCUUUUAAGGUGAUGAGGAAGACCUCCAAAUCCCUGUUGUGUCAUAAGUUAAACAUUGGGUUUUGUUAAAAUUGACGCUAAAUAAAACCUUUCAUUUAGCUGACACUAUUAUGUCACAGUCAGGCAGCUUGAGAUCUUGCAUAGAACUAAGCUCAGUUCUGUUCUAUAGCACUAGUGCAAGUCGGCCUGGGUUUUGCUGUCCCUUGCUUUUCACAAACACAUUUCCACCUGAAGCUGGUACAUCUAAAAAUUCUAAGACCAUAAUUUAAGAGGACUCUCUUUUUCAGUGUGUUAAUUGCCUAUGAUUUUCAGCUCCAUACAGAUUUAUUUCCUGUGGAGGAAGGUCAUUUAGCCUUACCAAAAUAAAAAGCAAAAUAAACCAAGGACAGUCCAGAGGUUGCUUAAUCUUCAUAUUUUUCACUAAUGUGUAGGUUAUGUCCUUGCUAAAUCUUCCUUUGUAUUUCUAAGUACUGUAGACCUCCAAACUGGAAUUUCAGUUUUGGAGAAUUGUAUGAAUGACUUUUAGCCUCAGGAAAUGUAGAGGUUGCUCACUGACACAAUUGCUUUCUACAUCAGGGGGGUAUUUUAUUAUCAGAACUCUAAUGAUUACUACUGGAACAUUAAUUGAUCUCACUGCUUUGGAACAGAAUUUUAAAAAUUUGUGUAGCAGGCACACAACUAUAGGAAGGAUUCUACGAGUACUUCUCAUUUCCUUCAUGCUACAGAAACAGUUGCAGUGUGUUAGUUUUAAUCAAACAUUCCUUAUUCAGUUAAUAUUUGUAUUGUUAUUUUCCUCGUGGGCUAUCAUAUGACAGCAUAUGUUAGCAUUUUGUAAAGCAGUGAGAAAAUAAAUAUAAAUAACAGUUUACAUCUGGCCUGUGUGUUUCCUUUUUUUUUCUUUUCCUCCUGGAACUUCCAAGAGUGAGAGAAAAAAUAAAUUGAUGGGCCUGCCCAUUUUAAAACACUAUUCUAUUUUUUGCUCAUAGAUAUGAGAAGAAAAGCCAACUGUGAUUCCAGAAGCAUGUGCUGUGUGUUUAUUUUGCCUUAUUGGGACAGGGCACAUACUGGAAAGAGAGGUUUUCUGUGGUAGUGGAAUCUGAGGUCUGUAAAGUUCUGUGCAGAUAGAUGCUCGAUCACAUAGCACAUUGCUCCUUGGGCUCAGUGGGGAAUGCUGUAGUCUUUAACAUGGAAUCAAACUUUGGAGGGGAUAAAAAGAAUAGUAGUAGUUUCCAGACCUUUGACCUUUCUCCUUCAUAUUACAACCAAGGUCCUCUUGAUUCUCUGACUUUGGGUCCUGGGUGCCUAGUGAUUGGUUUGUAUCCUUUCCAAAUGCACUGUUGUGUGUUUUAUAUUUCUCCUUAGACAGAUCAUUUAAUUAUUGAGUAAUGUGAGUGUAGUUUCAAUUAUCACAUGUAAUUAGCUAGUUGCAAAGUGGAUUAUGUCAAGAAUUGGUAUGGAGGCUGUUUCAUGGCUAAGUAUUACUUUUUAGGUAUCUUUUCACUGCAAAGAAGAGUGCAUGGUUGCUAAGGAGUAUCGGGAUUUGGAUGGGGGCUGCACAGUUCACUUUCCUGCAAGGCAGAUGUGUUCCUUCACUGUGUUUGCCAAGGUCCAAGUUAGGUGGUGCAAAUGGAAAUUUGACUGAAGCCAAGUCCUCAGUAUGGCACUUGGGCUGUGCGAAGAUUGACACUCAAGUAUGAAGAAAGCCAUCUCCAUUUUCACAGUCCUUUUCCUCAAACAUGUUUUUCACUGCUGUUUAUAGCCUGCUCACUCCUAUUUAAAGUAGGAGCUGGGUCUGAUGAUCUUCUGAUUAUUUCUAGCUGUAAGGUUUUUGAUUCCAUAAUGUCUCAUGACAAUCAUUCAUACAGACAGAAAUAUCUGAUCUGCUUUAUUUUCAAGAUGAGAAUAGCAAAAAUGAUACCAAAAGUGGGCUAUAAUAGGUUUUAUCUCUUAUUAGCAAGGAGCUCAAUCUCUCCUAGUGGGGGAAAGCUAGGUGCACAAAACAAAUGCAUUUUCUUCAAGCUUUACUUACGCUGGCAUUAACAAUAUCAGUCACACUCAUCCUGAAUCAGUUGACCAAGCAUUUGACCAGGCAAGCCAGUCAUUUCAACUCAAGGAUCAAUUGGAGAGACCUGAAUAGAGGAAAUCUUGGAAUCUUCAGGAGAAAUCCGUUUUGAGAACUUUACGUUUGUCAUCUUGCCUCAUAGAAACUUUCUACAUCCCUGUGAACAAUAAAUAUAGUCUAUAUGCAGCUAUAGCUUUUUAAGUAUUUGUAUCAUAGGUAACUUCUGAAGCCCGUUAACUUUUUCCCUCUGGGACAACGUAGUCUUCUUUGUGGAAGCAUUCAUCGUCUCCAGUGUGUUAAUACAUUUACCUUCUUUUUCUUUUUCUGCCCUUGCAGAACUCAGCCUCCCUCCCUCCAAACCUCGACACUGCCCACUCUUCCCUACAGUCUGGCAGCGUCCUCCUAACCUUUCAGCUGUCUGAAUAAAGAAUCGAUAAGACUAUUAAAGCCAUUUGGAACUUUUUAAAAAAGAGAAAUAAUAUUUUAAUUACUCCUGACAUGCCAGUUUGAAGCCCAUAUCCUCCUUUAUGACAGUUCAGUUUAGAAACUGCAUUGCUUCAUUUCAGUAACUUUAUUACCAUUUGUCUCAGAGAUUGCUAUUUCGCCUUGGCCACAGAUUUCAUCAGUUGCCCGGUUCACCUUUGUCCACACUAUACUUGUGAAAUGACCUCGUCCGUUAGUGCUUGUCAAUAGUAAAUUGCUAUAUUCUGCACCUAGAAACACACCAAGUGACUACAACUCUUUAUUGAAUAACUAGUUUAUACUUAAUUUUUAAAAAUUAAAACUUAACUGGGAUUGUCUUAAUUACUACUAAUACCAAUUAAUUAAGGUACUGGUAAGGGUUGGCUAUUGCAGACGUCAUUAUUUUUGGUAGUAGGAAUGAUGAGCACGGGGUAGUGUUCAUGUUCUUAUGAUGAGAAUGUUUUCUUUGGUGUAGCCUCCCUCUAAUUUUCUAACUCAUCUUUCAGAAUAACAAUGUGAAAUACUCAAUGUUCAAUUAUUCUGAUGACAUCAUAUUAAUUUUCUUUUCAAGAACUCUCAGUGACUGCAUCAUCUCUUCACAGAAGCUCUUUUUAAAUGCUAAGAAAUCUGUGCUCCGACAAUAUACAAAAAUCAUAAUUGAUAUCAAAAUGUGGCUUAUUUUCUUAGCAAUAAUUAUUAAAAGAAUCUUAAACAAUUUUGUUUUGAAUAAAUGACUGCAACAAUGUAUUGAGGAAUACUCAAAUUUAUGAUUAUAUCAAGACUAGAUGUAACUCUGUUAAAUACCUAAUUUUCUUAACUAUAAACUUAUAUUUUCACUGUAAAAUUUACAUGAAAAAGAAAAAUAAUGUCCACUGCUCACCUCUUUCCACAAAUAGCUGAGCUCUUUGAUCUCUUUAGCAAAGCUUUUGCCAUAAAUAGGUCUCUGUUACGUUGCCUGGAAAUUAAGUUAAAAUAAAAAAACAGUAUUCUUGGAAAUCUCAUUUUUAUGAAAUUUAUAAUGAUUACCAAUUAUUACUGUUACUUUCCAAAUGUUGUCUGACAUGUACUUAGUUGUGGCUGAAUAAUUCCAUGAAGAUUAUUUUAAUCUGUGAAGACCACUUAAAUUCCAGAUUCUAUCUUGUCUGGGUUUUUAAUCUUUUUUGUUUUGUUUCUAUAUCUUUGAAAUUACCUGGUAUCAGACAGUUUCCCUACUAAAAUAAAAUGCAAAAAUUUUUGAAGAGAAUACUUCUGACAGAUAACCAUGGUAAACCUGGUUGUUUUCAUAAUAUUCUUAAUGUCCCGAAAUAAAAAUGUUUGAAAUUUUAUUCCUAAAUAGAAAGUAAGAGCAGUUGUAUAAUAAUUGCAUGAUUGAAUUGAUAUUAGCCAAUGAAGACAGGAAAGAAGCAUUAAGAGUUCUCCUUACAAAUGCAACUGGUAUGAUGCUACCAUUGCUGUGACAUUCCGGAAUAGGAAAGUUUUCAUUAGUUUGUUUAUACCUUUGGGCGUAUUUGCUAUGUACAUACAUUUUUUGUUUGUUUAAAAUGGAAUUAGUGUUCUAGGAAAAAGUUUAAUAAAAACAUGUUUGGAAAUGAAAUUUUCUCAGAUUUUCAGCCACAAAGAUUUCCUCAGUGAUACACAAUAGCUAAUAUUUCAAUGUUGCUUUUCUUCAAAGACCAUGCUUCUUAGGUUGCAUGGAAACUUAGGACAGAAUUCUUUUGAAUCAAAAACAUAUGUAAUCUAAAUGAAGUGUGUUGGGAAGAUAUGUAGAGAGUAGUACUCUGAAUUUUUAAAUAGUGUAUUUUAGAUUCACUUUACAAAAAGAAAAAUGAGCAUAGACUUAGGCUAAAAUAAAUAUAAACAUUUUCACCUGCUAGAAUCAUCUUGUUUAGGUUUAUUUUACUAGAUGGUACUUAAAUUGCCCAGUAAGUGCAAUAGUCACAUUUAAUAGACAAUCUUUGAAUGGAUUCUUUGUGCCUUUUAAUAGUGUCGCAGUUUAAAUAAAACUAUUAAGCCGCCACCUUUUACAUCUUUGGGUUUACCUUGUUGAAUGUUUGGGGCAAAGGUUCAAGCAUUUCUUUUCAUGUACAUGAUCAGUAGCUGCUCUUAAUCAAAAUCUAGCUCUUUAAAAAACACUCAUUUACAAAUAAUAAUGAGUAGAAAUUACCAACAUGGACAACUAGAUGAAUUGUGGGUUCAAGUUUACUGAUAGAUAAGUUAAACAUUAGAGCCAUGAAAUGUAAGGUUUGUGUAGCAUUUAACAAGCCUUGGAAGAGCAUUAAAAGUAACUUAUGCGUAAUAUACAGUACUAAUAGAGCUUCACAGAACCCCAGAGGAAGCUGCAAAUGUAAUUCAGCAUGCUUCAGGCUGUCUGAGAUGUUGAGAUUAUGUUCCAUGAAGACCAAAAUAAGGUUUCAACAAGAUUUUCUUGCAAGCAUGUAAAUUCUCCAGAUGAGGAGAAAUGAAAAUAUAGUUAAAAUUCCAGCAGCUUAAAAACACACACAUUUAUAAGUAUGCUGAAAAUAGAUUUAAAGUUUUUAUUUUCUUUGUAGUGGGUUGGCAUAUCUUAACUGGAUUUUAUGUUAAACCAGUUAGGUUAAAAACCAAACAUGUACAUAGCAUUUGUCACUAUUAAUGUGGAGGAGAUAAAGAAGAGAAAAAGAGAACCGUUACAGUACAAGAUUUUGAGUGCUGCUUGAAAGUUGUGAGGAGCAAUCGCAUCUUAUCUGUUAGGAUUAGUAAAAAGAGAAAACAACAAAACCCCAGACCAAAGUUUAUUAUACAGUGUUUUGUUUUUCACAAGUGCCCCAUAUUGUCUAUAUAGGACUUCCCGGUGGCACAGUGGUAAAGAAUCUGCUUGCCAAUGCAGGAGACACAGGAGGUGUGGGUUCAAUCCCUGGAUCAGGAAGAUUCCCUGGAGAAGAAAAUGCCA